CCUACGGGCGGCAGCAGUGGGGAAUAUUGCACAAUGGGCGCAAGCCUGAUGCAGCCAUGCCGCGUGUGUGAAGAAGGCCUUCGGGUUGUAAAGCACUUUCAGCGGGGAGGAAGGCGUUAAGGUUAAUAACCUUGUCGAUUGACGUUACCCGCAGAAGAAGCACCGGCUAACUCCGUGCCAGCAGCCGCGGUAAUACGGAGGGUGCAAGCGUUAAUCGGAAUUACUGGGCGUAAAGCGCACGCAGGCGGUCUGUCAAGUCGGAUGUGAAAUCCCCGGGCUCAACCUGGGAACUGCAUUCGAAACUGGCAGGCUAGAGUCUUGCAGAGGGGGGUAGAAUUCCAGGUGUAGCGGUGAAAUGCGUAGAGAUCUGGAGGAAUACCGGUGGCGAAGGCGGCCCCCUGGACAAAGACUGACGCUCAGGUGCGAAAGCGUGGGGAGCAAACAGGAUUAGAUACCCGGGUAGUC
rnacentral:rRNA from 1 species